rnacentral:tRNA from 1 species
UACUAUAUAGUUUAAAAUAAAACAUUAAUCUUGUAAAUUAAAAUUAAAUAACCAUAUUUUAUAGUAU